rnacentral:sRNA from 1 species
GUGAGGGGCCACCAUUUCAGCCUCACUAAAAAAGCCCCGCCUGAUCACUCAGGCGGGGCUUUUGCG